rnacentral:rRNA from 1 species
CAGCAGCCGCGGGAAUACGGAGGGAACUAGCGUUGUUCGGAAUUACUGGGCGUAAAGCGCACGUAGGCGGUUACUUAAGUCAGGGGUGAAAUCCCGGGGCUCAACCCCGGAACUGCCCUUGAAACUGGGCAACUAGAAUCUUGGAGAGGUCAGUGGAAUUCCGAGUGUAGAGGUGAAAUUCGUAGAUAUUCGGAAGAACACCAGUGGCGAAGGCGACUGACUGGACAAGUAUUGACGCUGAGGUGCGAAAGCGUGGGGAGCAAACAGGAUUAGAUACCCCAGUAGUCCCUGUCUCUUAUAA